AUUGUGGAGUUGUCAGGGGCGGGAGAGGCUUUUGAGGUCAUCGAGUCCAACCGUCAGCGCGGCAUUGCCGCUGUGACUCUAACCUCAGAACUCUAAACUCCCAAAACACUAAACUACAUCACCCAGCGCCAAAUUCAGGCGCCUCUUAAACACCUCGGGGGUUGGUGAUUCCACCACCUCCUUCGGCAGUUCAUUCCAAUGUUCGGCCACCAGACCAGUAAAAAAGACCUUUUUGUCUACUGUCUAGCCUCGAUCUCCCUUGUCUCAGCUUGAGGCCGUGUUUGAGGUCCUCUCACUGCAGUGUAGAAGGGGCUGGACUCCAGUUACCUGGGGAGAGCCAUGAGGUCCCCCUGAGCCUCGUCCGGGCUAAACUACCCCGGGUCCCUCAGCCGCUCCUCAUAAAUGUGUGGGGAAAAGGAAAGUCCCUUUUAUUAGGCCUUAUGUAUUGAAUCUUAACUACAAAACACAACUGCAUUUUUUUUCCUUUUUGCUACUAAACCACGACUGAUUCAGGGUGAUGACGUACAGGUUUUUUUCCCCCCUUGUAUAAUUUGACAGAUGAGUGAGUGUGUGAUCAUUUUCAGUGCUGAGCCUGGCUAAAUGUGUACUGUGGGGCUGCAGUGAGUGGCUUGAAAAGGUCUCCAAAGAUGCGGAUUUCCUGACCUGUGCAGUAGGUGCCUCUGCCCAGGGAAAGGCUCCCUCAGGAAAACUGCCAGAGCUGCUGGUUGUCCUUGAGCUCCCAAACACCCUCUGCUUAGACUGGUCUUCCUCAGCUGUAACCUAUAUGCAGCAAGGAGGAAGCUUGAGCAGGAAGAAGCAAGAGUGGCUCAAGGGAGAUUGCACAGAAGAGUCUGGCAAAAGCAACUAAGUGAAGGUGGUGGUGUUGAGUGAAACUGAAUGGUGGUAAUUUGCACCAGAAGAAAACAAAACAAGCACUAAAACAUGAGUCAUGUAUGAAGUGCCAAGACUUAGGAGGAAAAGGAGAUGAUACGUUUCAGAUCCAGUGAGGCACAGCUGAAAAAACUGGUCUAAUGAAAGACCAGAAGAACACUGUGGGGCACAGAAGCCUUGUGAAGCUGUUGUUGAAGUUGUCAUAUGACCCCUUCUGCAGAUUUAGGAACAGCUGGUAAAUUUGCAGAGGAGAGUUAAUGCCCAGGAAAGUAAGGCACUCAUGUCCUCUGGAGACCGUGGUUCAGCUCUCCAGUCAAAAUCCUGCUUUUAAUGUUCAUUUUUCUUUCAAGUCAAGGAAAGCAGGUAGAUGCUUAGCAACUCUGCAAUUCAGACUAUAUAUCUGGGUAUCUAGCUUUGGUUAAAACAUUGUGGAUCAGUUUAUAAUACUGGAACUGAAGUGAAACCAAGGCUUUGAUCUGGGAUUAGAUCUGUGUGUAUAGAUCUGUAUAUAUAUAGCAAUUGCUUAUUCAUGGCAGAAUGCUUUCUUGAAGUUCCUGCAAACCUGGAAACAGGUUUUUGAAUCUCCUUUGAUAAUCCUGUGUGGAAGCUGUCAGGCGUGGGGCACUCCAGCAUGUUUAGAGCUCCUACACAUUUCCAAAUUGAGAAGUGCGAGAGAGAGUCAUCUUAGCAAGAGAAAAGCUCCCUCCUGUGGAAGAGAUGAACCUCUGCUGUGACAAGGAGCAGCCAUAAGGACAUUACACCGUGAUUUUAAAUUAGCAGGGAAAGGGGUUACAAGCACGGUGGGACUUUGCAAAUACUGGAAUCCAAAACCCUGUCCUGUUAUUUUUUUUCUCAAAGUAAAUUUUUCAUAUUUUGUAUGGCUUAUAUCUAUAACUGUAUGUCAAUUAUAACUGUUGUCUGUGAGUAAAACUGGAUUGUUUAAAUAA